UCGUCGCCGAGCGUUCAGGCGGUUAUUCUUGAUGAUCUUCACCGGUUGUCUCGGGUGACCGCCAAGUUUACUUUGAAAAAAUUAGAGUGCUCAAAGCAGGCGCGACGCCUGAAUAAUUGUGCAUGGAAUAAUGGAAUAGGACCUCGGUUCUAUUUUGUUGGUUUUCGGAACACGAGGUAAUGAUUAAGAGGGACAGACGGGGGCAUUCGUAUUGCGACGCUAGAGGUGAAAUUCUUGGACCGUCGCAAGACGAACUACUGCGAAAGCAUUUGCCAAGAAUGUUUCCAUUAAUCAAGAACGAAAGUUAGAGGUUCGAAGGCGAUCAGAUACCGCCCUAGUUCUAACCUUAAACGAUGUCGAUUAGUGUUCCGCCUGUGUUCCUCAAAUGACACGGCGGGCCGCUUCCGGGAAACCAAAACUUUUGGAUUCCGGGGGAAGUAUGGUUGCAAAACUUAAACUUAAAGGAAUUGACGGAAGGGCACCACCAGAAAUGGAGCCUGCGGCUUAAUUUGACUCAACACGGGAAAACUUACCCGGCCCGGACACAGGAAGGAUUGACAGAUUAAGAGCUCUUUCUUGAUUCUGUGGGUGGUGGUGCAUGGCCGUUCUUAGUUCGUGGGGCGACUUGUCUGGUUAAUUCCGAUAACGAACGAGACUCUAGCCUACUAAAUAGACGUUCCGAUCCUCUUGAGUCGGACGUUCUUCUUAGAGGGACAAGCGGCGCUUAGCCGCACGAGACAGAGCAAUAACAGGUCUGGGAUGCCCUUAGAUGUCCGGGGCCGCACGCGCGCUACAUUGAAGGAAUCAGCGUGUGCUUUCCCGGUCCGAGAGGACUGGGUAACCCGUUGAACCUCCUUCGUGCUGGGGAUUGGAAUUUGUAAUUAUGUUCCAUGAACGAGGAAUUCCCAGUAAGCACGAGUCAUCAGCUCGUGUUGAUUACGUCCCUGCCCUUUGUCCACACCGCCCGUCGCUACUACCGAUUGAAUGAUUUAGUGAGGUCUUCGGACUGGCGCUCG
rnacentral:rRNA from 1 species